rnacentral:lncRNA from 1 species
AAGGAGAUGACCCACAGGGGACUCCGUGUCAGAUGCUUCUAAGCUUUGUAAAGUUGAGGACAUAUGGUGGGGCAAAGGAUAGAUGUCUCGUAAGUAACUCGAACUAUCGGAGUCAUAAGCCGCCUCGAAAUGUAGAGAACUUAGAACUCUGCUCGACAAUAGUGAAGCGAGGAAAACACAUCUCGUGAAGCCAGGGAUAAACAUCUGGCGAAGUGUCGAACUAUCGGAGUUUUAUAAGCUAGCCUCAGGUAGAAAAGGGCUUAAAGCUAAGCUCGACGAUAACGAAGCGAGGAAAAGACAUUUCGCGAAGCCAGGAAUGAACAUCUAUUUAAGUGUCAAACUAUCGGAGUUUUAUAAGCUAGCCUCAGGUAGAAGAGGGCUUAAAGCUAAGCUCGACGAUAACGAAGCGAGGAAAAUACAUCUCGCGAAGCCAGGGAUGAACAUUUGGCGAAGUGUCGAACUAUCGGAGUUUUAUAAGCUGGCCUCGGAUAGACGAGGGCUUAAAGCUAAGCUCGACGAUAGCGAAGCGAGGAAAAGACAUUUCGUGAAGCCAAGGAUGAACAUCUGGCGAAGUGCCGAACUAUCGGAGUUUUAUAAGCUGGCCUCGAAUAUAGGAGGGCUUAAAGCUAAGCUCGACGAUAGCGAAGCGAGGAAAAGACAUCUUGCGAAGCCAGGGAUGAACAUCUUGCGAAGUGUCGAACUAUCGGAGUUUUAUAAGCUGGCAUCGAAUAAACGAGGGCUUAAAGCUAAGCUCGGCGAUAGAGAAGCGAGGAAAAGACAUCUCGUGAAGUCAGGGAUGAACAUCUGGCGAAGUGUCGAACUAUCGGAGUCUUAUAAGCUGACCUCGGAUAGACGAGGGCUUAAAGCUAAGCUCGACGAUAAUGAAGCGAGGAAAAGACAUCUCGCGAAGCCAGGGAUAAACAUCUGGUGAAGUGUCGAACUAUCGGAGUUUUAUAAGCUGGCCUCGAAUAGACGAGGACUUAGAGCUAAGCUCGACAAUAGUGAGGCGAGGAAAAGACAUCUCUCGAAGCUAGGGAUAAGCAUCUGGCGAGGCAGGGAAUAGACAUCUCGCAAAUAGCUCUCAAACUAUCAGAGUCUUAUAAACGGGCCUCGAAUAGACAAGGUCUUAUAGCUCGGCUCAACGAUAGUGAGACAUGAGGAAUGAGC